rnacentral:lncRNA from 1 species
AAAAGUCGUGUUUUUUUUUUAAAUCAUUUCAAACGAAAUUUAGGACAGAGAGGAUACUUUGAAGUACCUCAUGUCAGGUUCCGAAGGCAACUUUUUUAAACAUUUUAAUUUCUUUCAUCACUUUUUAUUUCAUUAGUGUUUAUCUCUUUUUAUUUUAAUUGCUUCUAUUUUUAUGAUUUUUUUCUUGUCUUUCCUUUAAGUGACUUACGAUUUUUCUUUAUUUUUAAAUCAUUUAUUUGUCUUGUUUUUAUUGCUUUAGUCUUUUUGUCCAAAUUGUCAUAUGGUCUUUGCAGUCCCAUUUGGGGGGCAUUUUCGUCCAAGUCAUGUUCAGCUCAAACCCUAAUUGUACCACUAUAAAUAGACUCCCAAUCAUUGGAGAGAGGGGGCUGCACUGAUUUUCACACAAACACAAUUUUUUUUCGGCAGCCCAAGAAUUAGGAUCAAACACUUUCUUUUUAAAAAUUCUCAAGAACAUUCACAACAACAAACAAUUUUCCAGCAACUAUUUUUUGAUUCAAUCAUCAAUAAACAACUCUUUUUUUUUUUUCUUUGAAUCAACCACCGUUCACAAAACCAACAUACAUACAAUCUCAUAAGCACACACAAAUAACCAUUUUUCUCACUAUCACUUCCUUGAGUGAACCGGAUCCAUCAACUAACAAGAACUCGAAUCGGUGCAAGCUUCAACAACACAAAACCGAAUCAGUAAGAAGCUUGAAGCAAAGUGUGAAGAUCCGAAAUUCCAACAGUAGUAGAAUCGAAGUCAAAGCUGAAGCAAGGUGUGAAGAACACAGCGAAGGUGAAUCCGAACACGAGCAAAAGGCAUUUCGAUCGAAGCUACAAGAGAAAGAACAGAUCCAUUCGUGUUCAUCCAUUUUGGUAACUUUCUUUUUCGAACUUCACUUUUAGAUCUAGGUUUUUGUGUUUGGAUUUUGUAAUUUUUGAGUUGAUAUUUGAAAUAAGGAAGAAAAAGGAUAUUCGAAUAUGUGAAAAAAUUUGAAACGGUUGAGUUUUGAACUCCGGCGCGGUGGUGCCACCACCGGCCACCGCGCCAGAAAAUUUAUCUCGCCGGAGAAGAAGAAGUAAGGGGCGCUGUCAUUUUAGUGUGAGAGGGAGAACUCAAAUUUUUUUUUAGAGAGAUGUUUUUAUGGUUUGAAAUGAGUUAAAAACCUGUAUCCUUGCUUUUAUACUACCUUUCAAUUCUGUGCGCUGCUUUCUUGCUACUACUGUGUGCUUUACUUUUUAACCGUUGGAUCUUAGAUCCUAUGGCUGUGAUGAGAUCUUGGGAUUUAGAUCUGGACCUCUGGAUUCAUCCAACGGUCCAGAUUGUAUCCUGCUGAGCCAAUCUCUUUCUUUUAAUUGUUCUUUAUCAUUUUAAAUACUUUUUACACUUUUUUGACAUUUUAAUGCUUUUAAAAAAUUCCAAAAAUAUUGUUCUUAUCAUCUUAAUUUUCUCCAAUUUUCAAAAAUUCAUCAUACUCGUUUCUUUUAUUUUUUUGCUCAUUUCUUCACUUGCUUUCAAUUGUUGCUUUAUUGUGUCUUUAUAUGAUGAUUUUAAUUGUUACUUGUUAUUUUCAUAUGUCUAUUCUUAAUUUCUUGCUUGUUAUUUCUUAUGUCUCAUUCAUCACAAUAUUCCUUAUGAUUACUAACGAUUUAAUCUUUGUUUUGAAUCAUAGCAUGCACAUUUAAUUUUCUCAUCAUUUUAUUUUGUCAUUGACUUAGUGUGUAUAAAUAGGAAAUUGAUGUAAGUUUUAUUUCUUGCAUUUUAUUUUGGCAUAAAGGCCUUAGGGUUGUAUUUAGGAAUUGAUGUAAUAAUGUAGGUAACACAAGCACCGACACAUGCACCGACACUUCACAUUUAUUUCUUAUACGUCGUUACGUUAGCUUACCGUUAGUUUAGAAAAAACCUUUUCAUCAAAAAAAACCUAAAUAUGUCAAAUUCAAAAAAUCAUCUUGUUAACAACAUUUUUUCUUUAUUUUUUUAAUCAAAUUCUCAAUCAAUCUUAAUUUAACUUCAAUCAUUUUUAAACUUUAAAAUCAAUCAACCUCACUUGUUUUCUUUAUCUCAUGCCUUGAGGCCUCUUUCUUUUCUUAAAACCCAUUUUCAAAAAUCUUAAAAUCAACCUAACCCACCAAAGAAAUUUUUGAGUGGAACUACGUCAGUUUUGAUCCCUUUCCCAAAAAGGGUACGUAGGUAGAGG